rnacentral:rRNA from 1 species
CAAUGGGGUUGAAUGGCUCGGCAUCCUGCCAACCCUGGCUAAUCUCGGAAGCUAAGCAGGGCCAGCCCUGUUAGUAUUUGGAUGGGCAACUGAAAUGUAACCAAUGGGCUACAUUGU